CCUACGGGCGGCAGCAGUGAGGAAUAUUGGUCAAUGGACGGAAGUCUGAACCAGCCAUGCCGCGUGCAGGAAGACGGCUCUAUGAGUUGUAAACUGCUUUUGUACAAGGGUAAACCUGAAUACGUGUAUUCAGCUGAAAGUACUGUACGAAUAAGGAUCGGCUAACUCCGGGCCAGCAGCCGCGGUAAUACGGAGGAUCCAAGCGUUAUCCGGAUUUAUUGGGUUUAAAGGGUGGGUAGGCGGAUUGAUAAGUUAGAGGUGAAAUUUGCGAGCUUAACUCGGGAACUGCCUCGAAUACGGUUGAUCUAGAGAGUAGAUGCGGUAGGCGGAAUGUAUGGUGUAGCGGUGAAAUGCAUAGAGAUCAUACAGAACACCGAUUGCGAAGGCAGCUUACCAAUCUAUAUCUGACGUUGAGGCACGAAAGCGUGGGGAGCAAACAGGAUUAGAUACCCCAGUAGUC
rnacentral:rRNA from 1 species